rnacentral:rRNA from 1 species
AGAGUUUGAUCCUGGCUCAGAACAAACGCUGGCGGCGUGCCUAAUACAUGCAAGUCGAACGAGGAAAGCCUCCGGGUGAGUACUAGUGGCGCACGGGUGAGUAACACGUGGGUAAUUUUCCUUAGAGUGGGGGAUAACUAGUCGAAAGAUUAGCUAAUACCGCAUAAGACCACAGAAUCUGCGGAUUCAGAGGUAAAAGGUUUUUCGCUCUAAGAUAAGCCCGCGUAAGAUUAGCUAGUUGGUGAGGUAAUGGCUCACCAAGGCGACGAUCUUUAGCUGGUCUGAGAGGAUGAUCAGCCACACUGGAACUGAGACACGGUCCAGACUCCUACGGGAGGCAGCAGUAGGGAAUAUUGCACAAUGGAGGAAACUCUGAUGCAGCGACGCCGCGUGAGUGAUGAAGGACUUCGGUUCGUAAAGCUCUGUCGUAUGGGAAUAAGAAAGUGAAUGUACCAUGCAAGAAAGGAUCGGCUAACUUCGUGCCAGCAGCCGCGGUAAGACGAGGGAUCCUAGCGUUGUUCGGAAUCAUUGGGCGUAAAGCGGGUGUAGGUGGCUUGUAAGUCAGGUGUGAAAGCCCAGGGCUCAACCCUGGAAGUGCAUUUGAUACUGCGAAGCUUGAGUGCUGGAGAGGCUACUAGAAUUCCAGGUGUAGUGGUGAAAUACGUAGAUAUCUGGAGGAAUACCGGAGGCGAAGGCGGGUAGCCAGCCAGACACUGACACUCAGACCCGAAAGUGUGGGGAUCAAACAGGAUUAGAUACCCUGGUAGUCCACACCGUAAACGAUGGAUACUUGUUGUUGGAGGUAUUGACCCCUUCAGUGACGCAGUUAACACGGUAAGUAUCCCGCCUGGGGAGUACGGUCGCAAGAUUAAAACUCAAAGAAAUUGACGGGGGCCCGCACAAGCGGUGGAGUAUGUGGUUUAAUUCGAUGCAACGCGAAGAACCUUACCUACUUUUGACAUGUACUGGAAGACUGGCAGAGAUGUCGUCGCCCGCAAGGGCCGGUACACAGGUGCUGCAUGGCUGUCGUCAGCUCGUGUCGUGAGAUGUUGGGUUAAGUCCCGCAACGAGCGCAACCCUCGCCAUUAGUUGCCAUCAUUUAGUUGGGAACUCUAAUGGGACUGCCGGUGCUAAGCCGGAGGAAGGUGGGGAUGACGUCAAGUCCUCAUGGCCCUUACAGGGUGGGCUACACACGUGCUA